AUUGAACGCUGGCGGAAUGCUUUACACAUGCAAGUCGAGCGGCAGCGCGGCCUUCGGGCUGGCGGCGAGCGGCGAACGGGUGAGUAAUGCAUCGGAACAUGCCCAGUCGUGGGGGAUAACACUUCGAAAGAAGUGCUAAUACCGCAUACGUCCUGAGGGGGAAAGCGGGGGAUCGCAAGACCUCGCGCGAUUGGAGUGGCCGAUGUCAGAUUAGCUAGUUGGUAGGGUAAAGGCCUACCAAGGCGACGAUCUGUAGCUGGUCUGAGAGGAUGAUCAGCCACACUGGGACUGAGACACGGCCCAGACUCCUACGGGAGGCAGCAGUGGGGAAUUUUGGACAAUGGGGGCAACCCUGAUCCAGCCAUUCCGCGUGAGUGAAGAAGGCCUUCGGGUUGUAAAGCUCUUUCGGCAGGAACGAAACGGUGGGCUCUAACAUAGUCCGCUAAUGACGGUACCUGAAGAAGAAGCACCGGCUAACUACGUG
rnacentral:rRNA from 1 species